rfam:Rhizobium sp. NT-26 chromosome, complete genome.
UUCCGGCUUUCCAUCAGCCGGGGUCACUGAAGAGGCACACCAUCAUUGCCGGAAGUGCGGUGGGAUAAUCCCUCCAAUCCAUGGCAGACAAAGCCGGAUCUUUGCCCGUGGCAGGGCGCUGAUCCAUUGUUUGCGCGUAUGAGCGUGUAGCGGCGUC